AUGCUUCCUCAAGGAAGCACUUUGCCUACGUGGACAGAAAGCGCGCCCUCAAGGAAGCGUUUUCUGUCCACGUAGGCAAAGCACUUCCUUGAGGAAGCAUU
rnacentral:pre_miRNA from 13 species